rnacentral:rRNA from 1 species
UACAGAGGGGGCUAGCGUUAUUCGGAAUUAUUGGGCGUAAAGGGCGCGUAGGCGGCCAUGCGUGUCUUCCGUGAAAUCCCUCGGCUUAACUGAGGACGUGCGGAAGAAACUGCAAGGCUCGAGUCCGGGAGAGGGGGGGUGGAAUUCCCAGUGUAGCGGUGAAAUGCGCAGAUAUCAGGAAGAACACCCGUGGCGAAGGCGGCUCUCUGGGACGGUACUGACGCUGAGACGCGAAAGCGUGGGGAGCGAACAGG